rnacentral:sRNA from 2 species
UAAAAAGUUUUCUAGGGUUCCGCAGAAGGAGUUUUCUGGCCUGGUCCGAGAGAAGACGCACAUGAACUUGUGUACACGGAAGGAUAAAAGCCUGGGAGAU